rnacentral:rRNA from 1 species
AGCGAACGCUGGCGGCAGGCCUAACACAUGCAAGUCGAACGAAGUCUUCGGACUUAGUGGCGGACGGGUGAGUAACACGUGGGAACGUGCCUUUAGGUUCGGAACAACUCAGGGAAACUUGUGCUAAUACCGAAUGUGCCCUUCGGGGGAAAGAUUUAUCGCCUUUAGAGCGGCCCGCGUCUGAUUAGCUAGUUGGUGAGGUAAAGGCUCACCAAGGCGACGAUCAGUAGCUGGUCUGAGAGGAUGAUCAGCCACAUUGGGACUGAGACACGGCCCAAACUCCUACGGGAGGCAGCAGUGGGGAAUCUUGCGCAAUGGGCGAAAGCCUGACGCAGCCAUGCCGCGUGAAUGAUGAAGGUCUUAGGAUUGUAAAAUUCUUUCACCGGGGACGAUAAUGACGGUACCCGGAGAAGAAGCCCCGGCUAACUUCGUGCCAGCCGCCGCGUAAAAC